CCUACGGGUAGCUGCAGCAACGAAUCUUCCCCAAUGCCGGAAACGGUGAGGGAGCGACGCCGCGUGAGGACGAAGUUCUUCGGAAUGUAAACUUCUGUAAGGAUUUUAUUCCAAAUGCUAAAGGGGCGGCUAACUCUGUGCCAGCAGCCGCGGUAAUACAGAGGCCCCAAGCGUUACUGAGAAUCACUGGGUUUAAAGGGUGCGUAGGUGGCGCGUUAAGUUCGUUGUGAAAUCCCUUGGCUCAACCAAGGAACCGCUUCGAAUACUGGCGUGCUUGAGGCUAGUAGGGGUUACUGGAACUGACGGUGGAGCGGUGAAAUGCGUAGAUAUCGUCAGGAACGCCAAUGGUGAAGACAGGUAACUGGCUGUUCUGACACUGAGGCACGAAAGCGUGGGGAGCGAACGGGAUUAGAUACCCUAGUAGUC
rnacentral:rRNA from 1 species